AGACAUAAUAUGUCGAGACAACCACCUGUGGUUUUGGGUUCUCUGAACAUUCAGAGGUCCUGCCGCCCGAAAAAACAUCACCCCCGCGCUGUAAAAUCAUUACAGAACAUCUCUCCUUUGAGCCAAGACUGCGGAGCGAGGACUAGUGAAACAGAUACUAUCCCCUCUGUUCGAACGACCAACAGCCCAGACACCUGGCCAACAGCCCAGAACAGCUCAAAGAUAAUCAGCGAAUCCGUCCUAAUGGAGCUUUCUGAAGUUGCUCAGGGGAAUAAAUGAUCUGGAACAGCCUUCGUUAGAAGGGGGUUCAGAGGAGCAACACGCAUGCAGCCAGUCCCCAUCACAUUAUUGUAGACUUGACAUACCACCAAGAAGGAUAACGGCCUCCUUAUGGACCCUGAACGACUUCCGAGGGGAAUUAUAUAUAUAUAUAUUAGUUAUACAUAUUUUAUUAUUUAUACAUUUUUUGAUGAUUGAAUGGCUGAGCCAACAGACACAAUUGAGACAGUUGAAACCCUGUUAUCCCAAGCUAUAAUUAACCAGAUGGAUGAGGCUUGGGUAACAGACAUAAUACCGAUAGAUGAAAACAUUAUCACCAAUACCCCCGAUAGAAAUAAUUAAUCAUGUGAAUGAGUCAGGGACAACCGAUGAAAAACUGUUAUCUCAGAUUCCUGAAGCCCUCAUAUCGUCAAUUAACCAGAUGAAUGAGAGCCUAAGAUCUUCUACACCGGACACCCCACAAACCCCGCCAUUAACGCCCAUGUCCGACGAGUCUGAAACGCAAUACAAUGUUUUUGAGGAAUUGGAAAAUUGUCUAAUAAAUCAGGAGGGAGAUGGUAUUGAUAGAAGUGUCCGGGUUGUGUACCGAAAUAAAUUCAGCAAUACAGAGAUUCGACUAUUUUUCUAUUUCACAUGGGUGAAUCAGAAUCUUGACCGCAGUGUUUUAUGUGAUGAUACUGGAUACUCUGAACUUGAAAUUUGUGGAGAUACCGUGUUGUGCAGGCUCUCUUAUUUUACCCAAUGGCGAAGCAGACCGUGAACAAUUUAUAGCCCUGCUGGAACGACUUGUUCAGUCAAAUGUAUUGUUCAGUCAAAAGGACCCUCGAGCUUGUAGUGCAAAUAAUACGUCAACCCCUGGGUGGUCAGAGAAGGAAGCUUGAUAGCCUAAUGCAAUCAGAAAUCAUAAGCAAUAAAAUGGCAUAUCUCAUAAACGUUCACAAUCCUGGUAAAAAGCUAUGCUUUGCAAUAGGCCUAGCACAUUUACUCAACCCUGGGUGUACAGAUCUAGCGGCGUUACACAAGGCUAGAGAGCUCCAAACGGCCGUGGGUCUAGGUAUACAGGAUGCGGUGGCUUUCUUGGACAUAGUCAAGUUUGAAAACCUUCUGAACAUCAAGAUUGUGGUUUUGUACCACAGUAGAGCUAAUGCAGCUCUCUUGAAAUUUCAAAACAACCCUCAUCCUCAGAUUCUGUACUUUUAUGUGCAAAACGCCCACUAUUAUGCUAUUACCAACAUCACCGUGUUUUUAGGCGCACCAUGUCUGUACAUCGUGCCAUACCGGCUACACUCGAAAGGGGGGGCACUCGUGCCGUUAUAACUGUUCAGUACGUCUGGAUGAAAAUUGUCAAAUGCAGCCCUUAAACUUGACACCCUGUGAGGAUUGUCGCCGCAAAUGUCGUUCGGCCUACUGUUACGAAAAACCCCAAAUUGAAACAUUUUUUAUUUUUAUUUUACCUUUUAUUUAACCAGGUAGGCAAGUUGAGAACAAGUUCUCAUUUACAAUUGCGACCUGGCAAUGGAAACAUGGCACCCCAAGGCCUGUAAAUCUGUAAGCAGUUGUGACAUUAACUUCUUAUGGCUGCAGGGGCAGUAUUGAGUAGCUUGGAUGAA